UAGUGGUUAGGAGCAUGGACUCUAAUCUGGGAGAACUGAUUUGAUUCCCCAUUCUCACACAUGCAGCUGCUGGGUGACCUUGGGUCAGUCACAGUUCUCUCAGAGCUGUUCUCUCAAGAGCAGUUCUCAAAGAGCUCUCUCAGCCCCACCUACCUCACAGGAGUGUCUGUUGUGGGGAGAGGAAGGGAAG